AACGAACGCUGGCGGCAGGCUUAACACAUGCAAGUCGAGCGCCCCGCAAGGGGAGCGGCAGACGGGUGAGUAACGCGUGGGAAUCUACCCAUCUCUACGGAAUAACGCAUGGAAACGUGUGCUAAUACCGUAUACGUCCUUCGGGAGAAAGAUUUAUCGGAGAUGGAUGAGCCCGCGUUGGAUUAGCUAGUUGGUGGGGUAAAGGCCUACCAAGGCGACGAUCCAUAGCUGGUCUGAUAUUAUGAUCAGCCAAACUGGGACUGAGACACGGCCCAGACUCCUACGGGAGGCAGCAGUGGGGAAUAUUGGACAAUGGGCGCAAGCCUGAUCCAGCCAUGCCGCGUGAGUGAUGAAGGCCCUAGGGUUGUAAAGCUCUUUCACCGGUGAAGAUAAUGACGGUAACCGGAGAAGAAGCCCCGGCUAACUUCGUGCCAGCCGCCGCGGUAACAC
rnacentral:rRNA from 1 species